CCUCACACGUGUUUCCAAAGAACGAACAGAUAUUUAAUAAAUACACGUCUCAUUAUGGUUGGAACCAAUUAAAAAACAAAAUAACGAUAUAGUUAGACGUCUGAGACACCCAAGUCACCGGCUGGAACUGACAUUGAAACUUGUUGCAUCCGGUGACAGCGAGACCAUUUAAGACUCUGACCCUUUCCCCGUGAUGUAUCGCCGUGGCUCCCCACUGGGGCAGACGUGUUGUGUCAAAGCUGCCCCGUUGGCCACCUCUUGCGUUGCCAGACGUCCCUGGAAGGAGCCAUCCCUCUUCGUG